CAAUAGCGUAUAUUAAAGUUGUUGCAGUUAAAAAGCUCGUAGUUGGAUCUGUGGUGUGCGGUGGGCUCCGGGCACUUGUUGUCUGAGUAGCUCGCCGCUGCCAUCCUUGGGUGGAACCUGUGUGGCAUUAGGUUGUCGUGCAGGGGAUGCCCAUCGUUUACUGUGAAAAAAUUAGAGUGUUCAAAGCAGGCUUAUGCCGUUGAAUAUAUUAGCAUGGAAUAAUGAGAUAGGACUUUUUCGCUAUUUUGUUGGUUUGCGCGAAGAGGUAAUGAUUAAUAGGGACAGUUGGGGGUAUUCGUAUUCCAUUGUCAGAGGUGAAAUUCCUGGAUUUUUGGAAGACGAACUACUGCGAAAGCAUUUACCAAGGAUGUUUUCAUUAA
rnacentral:rRNA from 1 species